rnacentral:rRNA from 1 species
GGAUCCAGACUUUGAUUCUGGCUCAGGAUGAACGCUAGCUACAGGCUUAACACAUGCAAGUCGAGGGGAAACGAUAUUGGAAGCUUGCUUCCGAUAGGCGUCGACCGGCGCACGGGUGAGUAACGCGUAUCCAACCUGCCCACCACUUGGGGAUAACCUUGCGAAAGUAAGACUAAUACCCAAUGAUAUCUCUAGAAGACAUCUGAAAGGGAUUAAAGAUUUAUCGGUGAUGGAUGGGGAUGCGUCUGAUUAGCUUGUUAGCGGGGUAACGGCCCACCAAGGCGACGAUCAGUAGGGGUUCUGAGAGGAAGGUCCCCCACAUUGGAACUGAGACACGGUCCAAACUCCUACGGGAGGCAGCAGUGAGGAAUAUUGGUCAAUGGGCGAGAGCCUGAACCAGCCAAGUAGCGUGCAGGAUGACGGCCCUAUGGGUUGUAAACUGCUUUUAUAAGGGAAUAAAGUGAGUCUCGUGAGACUUUUUGCAUGUACCUUAUGAAUAAGGACCGGCUAAUUCCGUGCCAGCAGCCGCGGUAAUACGGAAGGUCCGGGCGUUAUCCGGAUUUAUUGGGUUCAAAGGGAGCGUAGGCCGGAGAUU